UACGGAGGGGGCUAGCGUUGUUCGGAAUUACUGGGCGUAAAGCGCGCGUAGGCGGCUUUGUAAGUUAGAGGUGAAAGCCCGGAGCUCAACUCCGGAACUGCCUUUAAGACUGCAUCGCUAGAACGUCGGAGAGGUAAGUGGAAUUCCGAGUGUAGAGGUGAAAUUCGUAGAUAUUCGGAAGAACACCAGUGGCGAAGGCGACUUACUGGACGACUUUUGACGCUGAGGUGCGAAAGCGUGGGGAGCAAACAGG
rnacentral:rRNA from 1 species